rnacentral:misc_RNA from 1 species
AAGACUAUAGACCUGCGGAGUACCUGCGGAGGGAUCAUUACCGAGUUUUCAACUCCCUAACCCUUCUGUGAACCUACCUAUCGUUGCUUCGGCGGACUCGCCCCAGCCCGGACGCGGACUGGACCAGCGGCCCGCCGGGGACCUCAAACUCUUGUAUUCCAGCAUCUUCUGAAUACGCCGCAAGGCAAAACAAAUGAACCAAAACUUUCAACAAUGGAUCUCUAGAUCGGAAGAGCACAC